GGCAACUGUGUGCUCAUCACCCCCACCCAGUGGUGACAGGUAGACACCUGGGUAGGAACCCUGCUGCUGGGUGGCUGGUAGGAGACGCUGCAGAGAGACCCCUGCCUGGCUCUCAUCCUCCAUCAGUUGCAAGUCAGUCUAGCUCAGACCCAGACAAGUGGAAGAAGUCAACUCUUAACUAGGGUAUAAUGAAACAUGAUGGAAGUAUUUGACCCAGCAGCUCUUCUAUACCCAGGAGGCCCUGACUGCCACAUUCACCAGCUGAUUUUCCAGGCAAUUGGAAAACAGCUGAAGAAAUGCAAUGGCAGCUCUGCGCAGAGGCAGAGUUGCUUAAGAGCCAUCCUGAACUCAGGCCCG
rnacentral:lncRNA from 1 species